rnacentral:rRNA from 1 species
UACGUAGGGACCAAGCGUUGUUCGGAUUUACUGGGCGUAAAGAGCGCGUAGGCGGUGCGGUAAGUCACUUGUGAAAUCUCUGAGCUUAACUCAGAACGGCCAAGUGAUACUGCAGUACUAGAGUGCGGAAGGGGCAAUCGGAAUUCUUGGUGUAGCGGUGAAAUGCGUAGAUAUCAAGAGGAACACCUGAGGUGAAGACGGGUUGCUGGGCCGACACUGACGCUGAUGCGCGAAAGCCAGGGGAGCAAACGGG